AAACAAUUUAGGUUUUAGUUAAUCAUCUCGUUUCAGCUCGAUUAUCGGAAGCGUUUCAACAAUUUUGGUCUAUGAGAUCUUAAUUAGAUUAUUCAAUCUAUCCACGAACACAUACCAGAUCUCAGAGUGAGACAGAGUGUUCAUAUUAUGAAGACGGGGACGUGUGAGUUUGGUUUAGAAAGUAAAUUCCAUCAUCCAAAUUCAGCUGGCGAUUCCAUUCUUGCACCAGCACCUACAUUUUAUUCCAUGCUUGUGCUACACUGCUACUAGUGCACAUUCAAUUGAUGAUGCUGCGAGGAUGAUUCAGUUUGGAGAUUCAAAUGUAAUGGUAGCUGGAGGAACAGAAUUCAGUGAUGCUUUAUCUAUAACAGGAUUUUGUAGCUUGAUUUUGCCAGAAUGGCUGGUUAUGGGUGUGGAUGGUCUAGUGCUCAUGCAACUUUCUGUCAGGAACAACAAAUGCAGAACUUUUGAGGGCCUCACUUAGUCCAGUAGAGUACAUUGCCUCACUGUUUAACUCAGAAGAUGAGUUGAAGAUGAUAGAGGAGGUUGUGAGCACAUUUUCUUUUGAAAUCACCUUAUGUUGCUAUGCUUGCAUUCCAAGAUGCUGCAACACGGUGCAAGGGGUAAACAUGUUGGUGUAUCAGAGUAACUCUCAUGAAGAAGUAGGUCCGAGUGGGUGUAUGAGUGACUAUUUUCAUGCAUGUUUUGUAGGUGUGUACAAAAUGGUGCACAUGUGAAAAACUGAUUGCAUAAGCUUAUGAAUUUUUGUGCAUGAUUUU